UAUUUUAGAAUGUCGCUUGAAAUUUUUUUCCAGAUGAUGUAAGAUUCCUAGUCCUGAGUAUCAAUUAAAGAAUAAGAUUCAACUAUGAACUGUUGUGUACACGAAAAAGAAGAAUGCAUAUUUAACUUAUAAUGUUUGUAUCUUCAUACGUAGUAUAAUAAUAUAUUUCUGUACAUUUUCUUUUCUAGUAACACCUUUUCUACCGUCUCGUGUGAGGCAUGUACUUACGGGGGAUCUUUAUUAUCAUUUGGAACUUCAUGUACUAUAUUACAAUUUUAACAAAAACUUGAUGGAAUGAGGUUGACUAUUGUAGAUUGCUAUUCAAUAUAUGCAGUGCUAACUAUGUGUAACAUUAUUAGUUUAUAACAAUGUGAUUUUUUUCUAUAAUAAUAUACCAGCAGUAUUAUAAUACUUUAUUCAGAAGCGACACAGCUUAUAGAAUAUACAUUUUUACAAUUUUUGAAUGCAUCAGUGUAAUAUAAAUAGCAGUAAUCAUACACCAUACAUGUAUGGCUGAGAAUGAAAAUAAAUUCAUAUGAUAAAUAAGUAAUUCAACUACAUAUUACGAUUUGUUUUCAAUAUUA
rnacentral:lncRNA from 1 species